CUGCUGCCUCCCGUAGGAGUUUGGCGUGUCUCAGUCCCAAUGUGGCCGGUUCACCCUCUCAGGCCGGCUACUGAUCGUCGCCUUGGUGGGCCGUUACCCCACCAACCAGCUAAUCAGACGCGGGUCCAUCUCAUACCACCGGAGUUUUUACCACUGUACCAUGCAGUACUGUGGUCUUAUGCGGUAUUAGCAGUCAUUUCUAACUGUUAUCCCCCUGUAUGAGGCAGGUUACCCACGCGUUACUCACCCGUCCGCCACUAA
rnacentral:rRNA from 1 species